rnacentral:rRNA from 1 species
UGUAAGCGUAUACCAAAGUUGUUGCAGUUAAAACGCUCGUAGUCGGAGUUUGGCAGUUCCGGAUGUGUGCACGUCGUGUGCGCACUUCGCGGGGUUUGCUUUUGUGGUCUUGCGUAGGAUGAGGCACUUUUAUUAGUGAACGUCCUCACGCAACCACUUUUUACUGUGAGAAAAUCAGAGUGCUCAAAGCAGGCAUUUGCCGUGAAUGUAUUAGCAUGGAAUAAUAGAAUAGGACUUGGUUCAAUUUUGUUGGUUUGUUGGGACUGAGUAAUGAUUAAGAGGGACAGUUGGGGGCAUUUGUAUUUCGGUGCUAGAGGUGAAAUUCUUAGAUUACCGAAAGACAAACUGCUGCGAAAGCGUCUGCCAAGGAUGUUUUCAUUGA